UACGUAGGUGGCAAGCGUUGUCCGGAAUUACUGGGCGUAAAGGGUGCGUAGGCGGUUCAUUAAGUGGGAUGUGAAAUACCCGGGCUUAACCUGGGAACUGCAUUCCAAACUGGUGAGCUAGAGUGCAGGAGAGGAAAGUGGAAUUCCCAGUGUAGCGGUGAAAUGCGUAGAGAUUGGGAGGAACACCAGUGGCGAAGGCGACUUUCUGGACUGUAACUGACGCUGAUGCACGAAAGUGUGGGGAGCAAAC
rnacentral:rRNA from 1 species